rnacentral:rRNA from 1 species
GACAGGAGGGUGCAAACGUUUGUUCGGAAUUACUGGGCGUAAAGCGUGUGUAGGCGGCCACGUAAGUCGGAUGUGAAAGCCCCCAGGCUCAACCUGGGAAGUGCACUCGAUACUGCGUGGCUUGAGUAUCGGAGAGGUUGGUGGAAUUCUCGGUGUAGAGGUGAAAUUCGUAGAUAUCGAGAGGAACACCGGUGGCGAAAGGCGGCCAACUGGGACGAAUACUGACGCU